rnacentral:sRNA from 1 species
GAGAGAGCACAGCACGAUGAACUUAUUACGCCUUAUACCAUCAGCGGAAGGAUAACGUAUUAACAAUAACUACAAUCAGUGAUUUACCAUUAGUAAUAUAUAUGGAUUGACUAUAGGUACGAUAGAAAGAUAUUCUUUCAGACAAAGAAUAGUAUUCCCCUUCGGAUCAAAAGACUUCAUUUCUUACGCUUUUCACAAUAAGAAAAAUGUUAACUGCUAUUGCCCUCUCAAUACCCUGGAAAAUGCUUGGAAUCAUACGUCCGAUGAGGACAUAAAGAUCGGACACCUCGCACUCCGUGCUGCUUCACUUUGCAUUGUAUUUUCCCUGUCAUUUUAUUUCUUUUUACAUGCAUGCACUUAGCACGCUCACCUAUGUGAUGGGUAGGCCUAUAACAAUUUUGUUUGUAAACUUCAAAUGUUGUUUUCUUCUCAAUCACUUAUCCGAUUUAUGAUCUGGUUAUCCCGUUGUAUUUAUCACAAUUAAAUCUUUCCAACAAGAUCUCACUUGUUUAUAUUUUAAUGAUUUUUUAAAUAGUUAUUUUUUGUUGCAACAGGUUUUAUUUGAUGUUUCAAUAAGAAUUUCCUAAUGUUUCACUAUUUCAUUUAUAAAUGUUGCACAUUGUGUUAUUUGAUUAUUUUAAUAAUUACAACUUAAUGUCUCAUAUGUGAUAUAAAAAUAUGUUUCAAUGAGAUUAAUUAUUUCUUAAAUAUAUUAUAUCUUUCAUAUACCUUUUUAAAUGUUUCACUAGUUAAUUUGCACUCAAUGUUUCAUGGAGUGGUUGUCGGUGUUGCAAUCAAUAUUAUCUGAAUGUUGCAUCUCUCUGAAACAUUUUAGACAGUGGACGAAACAUUUCAUUGAGUGAUGAAACAUUUUUCUAUAAGUGAUGAAACAACGUCAAAUUAUUCUAGAAAAAUAUUUUUUUCCUAUCAAAAUAUAGUCAUGUGAGGCUUAUUGUGAAGAUUUAAUUGUAACGAAUACCAUGGUGUAAUUAGAUUGUAGAUCAUAUAACUAUUUUACCAGAAGGCAUUUAAAAUUUAGUAAAUAUAUAUUUAUGUACAUGCAUGAGACGUGUGGAAGAGAGUAGUUAUAUGCAUGCACGUGACAUGCCCCAGAGAGAGGAGAAGGAUAGUUGUUAGAGAAAUCAACUUUUUUCAUUCAAUCUAGCAGUCUAAUACUUGUUUCUGCAUCCAAACUUGGCGUCCGAUAUUUGGACUGCUAUCGGACGCCUGACACGUAGGCAGCUCCCAAUACUCUUGAUUGUGUUCCGUAGGCUAGCUCUGAUUAAAUGCACGUGUCUUAGCUUAAUUGGCGGUAACAUCUCAACAUUACUCCCUCCGUUCCUAGCUAAUAUAGUUUUAAUCAAAAAAGUUGUCCAGAGAUAAUUGCAGUGUUUCUUAAUAUACAACUUCAUUUUUUUUUCUUGUUCUUUAGCCAUUGAACCAAUAGCAAUCAUUUCUCCUCGUUUUUUCUCUUCUCCUUGUUUUCUUUCUGUAUUAAUAAAGAGCAUAGUGGUUUAUUCUUUUUUCUUAAUAUAUCUUUGGCUAGCUAAAUCUAAUUUAUUUAAAAACGAAACUACGGAAGGAUCAGAGUUAGUUUGUUCGAUAAAUUUAAAAAGCUGAAAAUUUAAAUAUUUGUGGCCUGGAGAGGGUGUAGAAAAUUAAUAAUGGCAUUAAUGUUUCCACUUAUCUCAUACAUCUAACUCUGUCAGCUUCACAUGAUGAAACAGUAAUUAUGCUGCCUCCACACCAGCCAACGAGAUACCCCGAUAGACGGCCCAUGCGUGAUUAAGUAUAGUCACUCUCCAGCUUUUAGGCUCGAAGAUUUGAUCGAAUUAAUUCCAAGGUGCCUGUACGUCUUGAGUUUUUAUCACCGGAUAUGAUCGAGCUAUGAAUGAAUGAUUGUUUGUGCGCGCGCACACGCGCUUUCUUCGCUACUAUAUAGACAGUUUUAGCAGAUGAUCCCCCUCUAGCAUCUAAAUGAGACAUAGCAUCUAGAUAAUGUCAGCACAAGUUAAGCGACAAGAUCCGUAUGAAAAAUUAAUUUUCGUAGGCGGCCUGAGAAAGUAAACCUAUUUUCGUAGACGAAUCUAUUAGGUAGCAUGCCUGGCACAAAUUAGUUGCCCUAGGUAGCCUGCCUGGCACAAAUUGGUUGCUCCGUCCUCUCUUAAAACACUCGAGUUCUCACUCCACAUUACUCUCUACUCUCCUCCCUCAUCACCUCCCCUCUCCUUCUUUCUCACCCCCUCCUCUGUCGACUGACGAAGGGAGCGGCGGCGCAGCAACUGCGACGAUGGCGGUGAUAGGGCCGUGACAACACCGGAGGGGCCGUGUGGGCUUGAGCCGGCGUAGGUGGCCUCACGUAGGGUAGAUUUAGCUCCUCGAUCCAUCGUUGGAUCAAGCAUCAUUAGCGAAGGGGUGGGGAGGGCUAGUGAUAUUGAUAGGACCACGACAGGAGCCUUUGCCGGGUUGCACCACGAUGGGCAUGUAGGGCCUGGCAUCGGAGGGGUGGAGGCGCGUGUGAUGAAGGGGUGAAGGCAGCGGAGGCGGGGUGGAGUGACGGCGGGAAGAGGCGAUUAUGACAACGGCCGCGGAUCUGGCGCCGCCAGUAUCAGGAGGCGA